GACUGAUUACAAGAGGGUGAAUGUGGGUGUGGCCAGGAGUGUCACCGCACUCAUAAAUACCAGAGACUUUCCGACCCCGAAGAAUCUGCGAGGACACACUCUGCUAGCAGGCUGAGAAAGAGACAUACAAGGGAUUAAAAGGGAGGAAACAGCUUUCACAACUGAACAUGUCCCAUCACCACCACCACCACAACCAUCAUGGCUACAAUAUGGGUUACCAGCCAGGAGGCUACGUGGCACCCGGAGCCUAUGUCGCUCCUGGAGCCUACGUCUCACCUGGGGCCUACGUCUCACCUGGAAUAGGAGUGGUUCCACCAGGGGGUGUCGUACUACCAACUUACCCUCCUGCCCCAUACCAACCAGGCGGUUUUGCAACUGUUGGCCCUACAUGGAAUUAUGAACCCCAUCACGGUCAUCAUCACCAUCACGGUCAUCAUCACCAUCACUGAUCCAGUGAACCUCUUGCUUAUACUGAUUUAUGGGGCUGCUACCAUAUUAUGAUAACGACAUUGCAGUUAUUAACAGCUAAACAUCAUUAUUUGUUAUUUUGGACUUUCUCUGCUAGCCUCAGGAGGUUGGGCUCUCCCUUGGAGUCUGGUUCCUCCCAAGAUUUCUUCCUACUAGGGAGCUUUUUCUUUGCCACUAUCGUCUCUGACUUGCUAUCUUGGGCCCUUUGGGGAAUGUAAAGCACUUUGAGACAUACAGUAGUGUCACAAUGCUCUGUAUAAAAUUAAAUUGAAUUUAAUUAAAUGUAACAUCAGGGGUUAAGUUGUGAAGAUGAAAAUGUGUUUAUCUGCUUCAUGUGUCCUCGUCAAACAAAAGGAGAAGCUUUAUACAACUUAAUCUAUUGUUAAAUGUUUUAUUGUUUGACAAAAUAAAGAGAAUUUGAAAAAAGCAUGAAA